rnacentral:rRNA from 1 species
UGAGGAAUAUUGGUCAAUGGGCGCAAGCCUGAACCAGCCAUCCCGCGUGAAGGAAGAAUGUCCUAUGGAUUGUAAACCUCUUUUAUACAGGAAUAAAGUGUACUACGUGUAGUAUUUUGUAUGUACUGUAUGAAUAAGGAUCGGCUAACUCCGUGCCAGCAGCCGCGGUAAUACGGAGGAUCCGAGCGUUAUCCGGAUUUAUUGGGUUUAAAGGGUGCGUAGGCGGAAUAGCAAGUCAGUGGUGAAAGUUUGCAGCUUAACUGUAAAAUUGCCAUUGAAACUGCUGUUCUUGAGUACAGUAGAGGUAGGCGGAAUGUGUAGUGUAGCGGUGAAAUGCAUAGAUAUUACACAGAACACCGAUUGCGUAGGCAGCUUACUGGAGUGUAACUGACGCUGAGGCACGAUAGCGUGGGGAUCAAACA